rfam:Oryctes borbonicus contig11558, whole genome shotgun sequence.
AGUCGACACGCUUGAUCUUUGUUUUUCCUGUGUAUUGGGCAAGGUGAGCAAAGAUUCAGGUGUGUUGACUU